rnacentral:rRNA from 1 species
UACGGGAGGCAGCAGUGGGGAAUAUUGCACAAUGGGCGAAAGCCUGAUGCAGCUAUGCCGCGCGUAUGAAGAAGGCCUUAGGGUUGUAAAGUACUUUCAUCGGGGAGGAAAAAACAAAACUAAUAAUUUUAUUUCUUGACGUUACCCGAAAAAGAAGCACCGGCUAACUCCGUGCCAGCAGCCGCGGUAAUACGGAGGGUGCUAGCGUUAAUCAGAAUUACUGGGCGUAAAGAGCACGUAGGUGGUUUUUUAAGUCAGAUGUGAAAUCCCUGGGCUUAACCUAGGAACUGCAUUUUGAAACUGAAAUACUAGAGUAUCGUAGAGGGAGGUAGAAUUCUAGGUGUAGCGGUGAAAUGCGUAGAUAUCUGGAGGAAUACCUGUGGCGAAAGCGGCCUCCUAAACGAAUACUGACACUGAGGUGCGAAAGCGUGGGGAGCAAACAGGGAUUAGAUACC